rnacentral:rRNA from 1 species
UACGUAGGUCGCAAGCGUUGUCCGGAUUUACUGGGCGUAAAGAGCGCGCAGGCGGCUGGUCAAGUCCGAUGUGAAAUCUCCCGGCUCAACUGGGAAACAGCAUCGGAAACUGAUCGGCUUGAAGAUGGGAGAGGGUAGUGGAAUUCCCGGUGUAGUGGUGAAAUGCGUAGAUAUCGGGAGGAAUACCAGAGGCGAAGGCGGCUACCUGGACAAUUGCUGACGCUCAGGCACGAAAGCGUGGGGGAGCAAAAGGG